UAACUGCGCGUCGGAAUGUGAACUGCAGGACACAUGAACAUCGACACUUUGAACGCAUAUUGCGGACCGUGGCUCGUCUACUGUCCAUGCCUGGCUCAGGGUCGGUUUGACAUCCUUCGAGAGCUCUGCUCUCGCAUUGGGCUCUCCCGGCGCUCGCCGCCGCGUGGCCUCAAGAUCAGGGCGCGGGGCCGUCGGUCGCCCCUGCUGACUCUCGGGAGUGAAAUCCUGGGUCGGCGGGCUUCCGCUCCUCGCGUGGCCGCCGGAGCUUUCGCCUCUCCGCGGCCGCCCCCUUCUCACUUCGACCUGAGAUUAGGCAAGGUUACCCGCCGAAUUUAA
rnacentral:misc_RNA from 1 species